GCUCAAGGAGGCCUUCCGAGUCUUUGACAAAGACCAGAAUGGCUUUAUCUCCGCUGCUGAACUUCGCCAUGUCAUGACCAACCUAGGAGAAAAGCUCACAGAUGAGGAAGUCGAUGAAAUGAUCCGCGAAGCCGAUGUCGAUGGUGAUGGCCAGAUCAACUAUGAGGAAUUUGUCAAAGUCAUGAUGGCCAAGUGAGUCCCCACCACAAAACAAUAAAAACAAAUGCGAGGAAAUUUCAUGGCGGAUAAGUUGCAUGAUGUUGAUCUGUUUC
rnacentral:lncRNA from 1 species